GACGAACGCUGGCGGCGUGCUUAACACAUGCAAGUCGAACGGAAAGGCCCUGCUUUUGUAGGGUGCUCGAGUGGCGAACGGGUGAGUAACACGUGAGUAACCUGCCCUUGACUUUGGGGUAACCUCAGGAAACUGGGGCUAAUACCGGAUAGGAGCUCCUGCUGCAUGGUGGGGGUUGGAAAGUUUCGGCGGUUGGGGAUGGACUCGCGGCUUAUCAGCUUGUUGGUGGGGUAGUGGCUUACCAAGGCUUUGACGGGUAGCCGGCCUGAGAGGGUGACCGGCCACAUUGGGACUGAGAUACGGCCCAGACGCCUACGGGAGGCAGCAGUGGGGAAUAUUGCACAAUGGGCGGAAGCCUGAUGCAGCAACGCCGCGUGCGGGAUGACGGCCUUCGGGUUGUAAACCGCUUUCGCCUGUGACGAAGCGUGAGUGACGGUAAUGGGUAAAGAAGCACCGGCUAACUACGUG
rnacentral:rRNA from 1 species